UGAGAGGUUGAACGGCCACAUUGGGACUGAGACACGGCCCAGACUCCUACGGGAGGCAGCAGUGGGGAAUAUUGCCCAAUGGGGGAAACCCUGAUGCAGAGACGCCGCGUGGAGGAAGAAGGUCUUCGGAUUGUAAACUCCUGUUGCUGAGGAAGAUAAUGACGGUACUCAACAAGGAAGUGACGGCUAACUACGUGCCAGCAG
rnacentral:rRNA from 1 species